CCUACGGGGGGCAGCAGUGAGGAAUAUUGGUCAAUGGACGAGAGUCUGAACCAGCCAAGUAGCGUGAAGGAUGACUGCCCUAUGGGUUGUAAACUUCUUUUAUAUGGGAAUAAAAUGUUCCACGUGUGGGAUUUUGUAUGUACCAUAUGAAUAAGGAUCGGCUAACUCCGUGCCAGCAGCCGCGGUAAUACGGAGGAUCCGAGCGUUAUCCGGAUUUAUUGGGUUUAAAGGGAGCGUAGGUGGAUUGUUAAGCCAGUUGUGAAAGUUUGCGGCUCAACCAUAAAAUUGCAGUUGAAACUGGCAGUCUUGAGUACAGUAGAGGUGGGCGGAAUUCGUGGUGUAGCGGUGAAAUGCUUAGAUAUCACGAAGAACUCCGAUUGCGAAGGCAGCUCACUGGACUGCAACUGACACUGAGGCUCGAAAGUGUGGGUAUCGAACAGGAUUAGAUACCCGGGUAGUC
rnacentral:rRNA from 1 species